GACGAACGCUGGCGGCGUGCCUAACACAUGCAAGUCGAACGGGGUUAAUUUCUUCGGAGAUUAACUUAGUGGCGAACGGGUGAGUAACGCGUGAGAAACCUGCCUUUCAGUGGGGGACAACAGUUGGAAACGACUGCUAAUACCGCAUAAUGUAUUUUGGGGGCAUCCCUUAAAUACCAAAGCUUUAUGUGCUGAAAGAUGGUCUCGCGUCUGAUUAGCUAGAUGGCGGGGUAACGCCCACCAUGGCGACGAUCAGUAGCCGGUCUGAGAGGAUGAACGGCCACAUUGGGACUGAGAUACGGCCCAGACUCCUACGGGAGGCAGCAGUGGGGAAUAUUGGGCAAUGGGGGAAACCCUGACCCAGCAACGCCGCGUGAAGGAAGAAGGCCUUCGGGUUGUAAACCUCUGUUUUAGUGAAGAAUAAAUGACGGUAGCUAAAGAGGAAGCCACGGCUAACUACGUG
rnacentral:rRNA from 1 species